rnacentral:rRNA from 1 species
GCGUUAAGUUGCAGGGUAUAGACCCGAAACCCGGUGAUCUAGCCAUGGGCAGGUUGAAGGUUGGGUAACACUAACUGGAGGACCGAACCGACUAAUGUUGAAAAAUUAGCGGAUGACCUGUGGCUGGGGGUGAAAGGCCAAUCAAACCGGGAGAUAGCUGGUUCUCCCCGAAAGCUAUUUAGGUAGCGCCUCGUGAAUUCAUCUCCGGGGGUAGAGCACUGUUUCGGCUAGGGGGCCAUCCCGGCUUACCAACCCGAUGCAAACUGCGAAUACCGGAGAAUGUUAUCACGGGAGACACACGGCGGGUGCUAACGUCCGUCGUGAAGAGGGAAACAACCCAGACCGCCAGCUAAGGUCCCAAAGUCAUGGUUAAGUGGGAAACGAUGUGGGAAGGCCCAGACAGCCAGGAUGUUGGCUUAGAAGCAGCCAUCAUUUAAAGAAAGCGUAAUAGCUCACUGGUCGAGUCGGCCUGCGCGGAAGAUGUAACGGGGCUAAACCAUGCACCGAAGCUGCGGCAGCGACACUCAGGUGUUGUUGGGUAGGGGAGCGUUCUGUAAGCCUGUGAAGGUGGCCUGUGAGGGUUGCUGGAGGUAUCAGAAGUGCGAAUGCUGACAUAAGUAACGAUAAAGCGGGUGAAAAGCCCGCUCGCCGGAAGACCAAGGGUUCCUGUCCAACGUUAAUCGGGGCAGGGUGAGUCGACCCCUAAGGCGAGGCCGAAAGGCGUAGUCGAUGGGAAACGGGUUAAUAUUCCCGUACUUGGUGUUACUGCGAAGGGGGGACGGAGAAGGCUAUGUUGGCCGGGCGACGGUUGUCCCGGUUUAAGCGUGUAGGUGUGUGUUCCAGGUAAAUCCGGUUCACUUUAACACUGAGGCGUGAUGACGAGGCACUACGGUGCUGAAGCAACAAAUGCCCUGCUUCCAGGAAAAGCCUCUAAGCAUCAGGUAACAUCAAAUCGUACCCCAAACCGACACAGGUGGUCAGGUAGAGAAUACCAAGGCGCUUGAGAGAACUCGGGUGAAGGAACUAGGCAAAAUGGUGCCGUAACUUCGGGAGAAGGCACGCUGACACGUAGGUGAAGUGAUUUACUCAUGGAGCUGAAGUCAGUCGAAGAUACCAGCUGGCUGCAACUGUUUAUUAAAAACACAGCACUGUGCAAACACGAAAGUGGACGUAUACGGUGUGACGCCUGCCCGGUGCCGGAAGGUUAAUUGAUGGGGUCAGCGCAAGCGAAGCUCCUGAUCGAAGCCCCGGUAAACGGCGGCCGUAACUAUAACGGUCCUAAGGUAGCGAAAUUCCUUGUCGGGUAAGUUCCGACCUGCACGAAUGGCGUAAUGAUGGCCAGGCUGUCUCCACCCGAGACUCAGUGAAAUUGAACUCGCUGUGAAGAUGCAGUGUACCCGCGGCAAGACGGAAAGACCCCGUGAACCUUUACUAUAGCUUGACACUGAACAUUGAGCCUUGAUGUGUAGGAUAGGUGGGAGGCUUUGAAGUGUGGACGCCAGUCUGCAUGGAGCCGACCUUGAAAUACCACCCUUUAAUGUUUGAUGUUCUAACGUGGACCCGUAAUCCGGGUUGCGGACAGUGUCUGGUGGGUAGUUUGACUGGGGCGGUCUCCUCCUAAAGAGUAACGGAGGAGCACGAAGGUUGGCUAAUCCUGGUCGGACAUCAGGAGGUUAGUGCAAUGGCAUAAGCCAGCUUGACUGCGAGCGUGACGGCGCGAGCAGGUGCGAAAGCAGGUCAUAGUGAUCCGGUGGUUCUGAAUGGAAGGGCCAUCGCUCAACGGAUAAAAGGUACUCCGGGGAUAACAGGCUGAUACCGCCCAAGAGUUCAUAUCGACGGCGGUGUUUGGCACCUCGAUGUCGGCUCAUCACAUCCUGGGGCUGAAGUAGGUCCCAAGGGUAUGGCUGUUCGCCAUUUAAAGUGGUACGCGAGCUGGGUUUAGAACGUCGUGAGACAGUUCGGUCCCUAUCUGCCGUGGGCGCUGGAGAACUGAGGGGGGCUGCUCCUAGUACGAGAGGACCGGAGUGGACGCAUCACUGGUGUUCGGGUUGUCAUGCCAAUGGCACUGCCCGGUAGCUAAAUGCGGAAGAGAUAAGUGCUGAAAGCAUCUAAGCACGAAACUUGCCCCGAGAUGAGUUCU